rnacentral:lncRNA from 1 species
AUGCGGGCCCAGCCUAGGUCUCCUUUGCUCCUUUACCAAAUUCCCUUUGUCUUGCCACAGGCCCCAGGACCUCCAAGCAACUUCCUCUCCUUCAUCAGCAGUUGCCAGCAGUCAUCCUCUGGGCUCUGCCAGCAAGUUGGCAGCAGGUGUGGGGGGUGGAACACAAGUUUAGAAGUCACAAAAUCAGUAUGCUGGGCCCUACAUGAUGAGCUGUCACUGAGUGAUGCUGGCAUUGCAACAGCUUCUGUAAACAGGAUAACUUCCUGCUAUGAGUCAGCUAAACAUUCCUGAAUCCAACCAUUCUACCCCUGGCAAACUCCAGUAUCUGAUGCUCUAUCACAUGUGCAAACAAAGUCACUCACAUGGGUUUCAACAAGUACACUGCUUAGUGAAAUAUGGGUCUUUAAAAACAUACUGGAAUUUGAAAAAAUAAACCACACACUGAUGGUAAUGUCUUCCUCUGAAUGAAUGUGUGUAAAACUGUAACAGGCACAAAAACCAAAGCCAAAGAAUCAAAGACUUACAUCUGUCAAACCUAUUCCACAGAAGCCAUUUCAAUAUCAGGGCUAUUUCUUAGAUAGGUUUAAAAAUGUAUCUCACAAUUUAAAUUUGAAAACAAAGCAAAGCGCAAACACCAAGUAGAAGUUACACUACAAGGACCAUGCAGGUCAGCCAGGUGUAGAAGAUAAACGGUCAAAAUAUGCUAUGAAGAAGAAAACUAAGAAAGGUACA